rnacentral:lncRNA from 1 species
AUAGCUUUUUUCUGUUUUUAUUUUUUGUAUUUUUUUUUCCUUUUCUCUUUUUCUGUGUAGAGUUGAGUCUCUAGGGAAGAAAAGCCCCUGCAGUAAAAACAGCCCAUUUAAAAAAGAGAGAGAGAGAGAGAGAGAGAGAGAGAGAGAGAGAGAGAGAGAGAGAAGCUAUCCCAAGUGGUAAGGAUUACAAAUAUCUGGUUUGCAGCCCGCCCUCCCGGGUGACUUUAUACAAGUUCACAUCUCCGUCAUCUUCAAAAGGCCUUGAGGAUUUCCUCUCUGAUAAGAAAAAAUAGCACUGCGAUAUCUUAGGUCAACUUUACACUGUACACGUUAGAUACAAACGGUUUGAUAUAUCAGAUUUUUUAAGCUAUACAUUGGAAAGGCAACCCCCCCAGUUGGUGAGACAGAGAACAAUCACCCAUUUACAAGUUAUUUCUCUGCGUUCACAUUCCCACCACAUGUUAAUAUAAUGUUUUAAACGUUAGAUUAUCUCAAGAAAAAUACUUUUACAAAAUCAUUCAAUUAUUACAUUUUUUUCCUUUUCUUUGUUAAUAACCAGGACAUCAAAGUCUCUUGGAAGAACUUAGUUUGCAUGACUCUCCCACGGGAGCCGGGCUCAGUGCCGGCCCGUCAGGAGGCUCUGGGAAGCCAGUCCACACCCACCACCCGCAGACAGAAACAUACGACAUAAGGGCUAGAAACAGGGUUUCAAAGUCAACCCAAAGGUCUGGGACAGGGAGUCAAAAAUACUUCAAUCAGCUGUUAAUGCUUUAAAAAAGGCUUUUUUUUUUUUUAAAGUCCCACAUAGAGGCUCAGCUUCAAGUACUGAUUUAAUGGUUGAGUUGUAAUAUUUCUUUGAAACAAUAUUCCUAUGGUCC